rnacentral:rRNA from 1 species
AUGCCCUCGUGGGCCGGCGCCGGCCAAGGAAGUCGCCAACUCGGACACCCCGCUCACCUUCCCCGAGGACGACGAGCACGACGAGGCUGCGGCGGAGGACGAGGCCAAGGCAUGUGUACAGGACAAGCCGAGGACGAGGCCCUAGAUUUCAUCGUCGAGGAGGAGCUGGUGGUUGAGGUGAAGGAGGAGGUCAUGGUGGUGUGGAGGAGGUCGAGGAGUAUGUGGAGCCGUCGGAGGAGGCCAAGGUGUACGUGUUCAACCUUCCCUAUGAUGUCAGCAGCGAGCGCCGAGCGCAGCUCUUCGAUCAGGCCGGUGUCGUUGAGGUUGCCGAGGCUAGCGCCGUCGAGGUUAUCGUGGUGA